GAUGAAGAACGUAGCAAAAUGCGAUAAGUAAUGUGAAUUGCAGAAUUCAGUGAAUCAUCGAAUCUUUGAACGCACAUUGCGCCCGCCAGUAUUCUGGCGGGCAUGCCUGUUCGAGCGUCAUUUCAACCCUCAAGCACAGCUUGGUGUUGGGACUCGCGUUAAUUCGCGUUCCCCAAAUUGAUUGGCGGUCACGUCGAGCUUCCAUAGCGUAGUAGCAAAACCCUCGUUACUGGUAAUCGUCGCGGCCACGCCGUUAAACCCCAACUUCUGAAUGUUGACCUCGGAUCAGGUAGGAAUACCCGCUGAACUUAAGCAUAUCAAUAAGCGGAGGA
rnacentral:misc_RNA from 1 species